rnacentral:ncRNA from 2 species
UUUAAUAGGAAGGGAAUAAGUGUCAGCAGGCGCCAAAGCGCCCAAGUUGACUUAAUAGGGAAGUCGGUGAGAGACCGGCGCGGACCCGCCACUGUAUGAAGCGUCCUAACGCUUCAAAGCCAGGAGACCUGCUUAUUUCAACGACACUGU